rnacentral:rRNA from 1 species
AGUUUACAACUCCCAAACCCAUGUGAACAUACCUAUCGUUGCUUCGGCGGGAUCGCCCCGGGCGCCUUGCGUGCCCCGGACCCAGGCGCCCGCCGGAGGACCUUAACUCUUGUUUUAUUUUAGAAUCUUCUGAGUCGUUUUUACAAAUAAAUAAAAACUUUCAACAACGGAUCUCUUGGUUCUGGCAUCGAUGAAGAACGCAGCGAAAUGCGAAAAGUAAUGUGAAUUGCAGAAUUCAGUGAAUCAUCGAAUCUUUGAACGCACAUUGCGCCCGCCAGUAUUCUGGCGGGCAUGCCUGUCUGAGCGUCAUUUCAACCCUCAUGCCCCUAGGGCGUGGUGUUGGGGAUCGGCCAAGGCCCGCGAGGGACGGCCGGCCCCUAAAUCUAGUGGCGGACCCGUCGUGGCCUCCUCUGCGAAGUAGUGAUAUUCCGCAUCGGAGAGCGACGAGCCCCUGCCGUUAAACCCCCAACUUUCCAAGGGUGACCUCAGAUCAGGUAGGAAUACCCGC